rnacentral:rRNA from 1 species
AUUGAACGCUGGCGGCAUGCUUUACACAUGCAAGUCGAACGGUAACAGGUUAAGCUGACGAGUGGCGAACGGGUGAGUAAUGCAUCGGAACGUGCCCGGUCGUGGGGGAUAACGCAGCGAAAGCUGCGCUAAUACCGCAUACGAUCUGAGGAUGAAAGCGGGGGACCGUAAGGCCUCGCGCGAUCGGAGCGGCCGAUGUCAGAUUAGGUAGUUGGUGGGGUAAAGGCUCACCAAGCCAACGAUCUGUAGCUGGUCUGAGAGGACGACCAGCCAAACUGGGACUGAGACACGGCCCAGACUCCUACGGGAGGCAGCAGUGGGGAAUUUUGGACAAUGGGCGAAAGCCUGAUUCAGCAAUGCCGCGUGCAGGAAGAAGGCCUUCGGGUUGUAAACUGCUUUUGUACGGAGCGAAAAGGUCUCCUCUAAUACAGGGGGCUCAUGACGGUACCGUAAGAAUAAGCACCGGCUAACUACGUGCCAGCCGCCGCGGUAA